GACGAACGCUGGCGGCGUGCUUAACACAUGCAAGUCGAGCGGUAAGGCCCUUUCGGGGGUACACGAGCGGCGAACGGGUGAGUAACACGUGGGUGACCUGCCCUCAGCUCUGGGAUAAGCCUGGGAAACUGGGUCUAAUACUGGAUAUGACUCCACGGUGCAUGUCGUGGGGUGGAAAGCCUUGUGCGGCUGAGGAUGGGCCCGCGGCCUAUCAGCUUGUUGGGGGGUGAU
rnacentral:rRNA from 1 species